AUCCAGCUGACGAGUCCCAAAUAGGGCGAAACACAAGUCCUAGUU
rfam:Schistosoma margrebowiei strain Zambia genome assembly, scaffold: SMRZ_contig0001808